rnacentral:rRNA from 1 species
AUGAGCUGCCGCGCGGCUCCAUGGGGCCGCCCGUCGGCCCCCCGGAGCCGGCCCUUUCCCGCCUCGGCGCGCCUCCGCGGCCCGUUCGGGGGUUUGAAUGCGUGGAAGAAUCCAAUCCUCAAAAACUCGUUUGGGCUGCCGGCGAUGUUUGGGCUGCCGUCUGGACUGUUCAGAUGCAUGGCUUCAAGUGGCUCUGGGGAUGGCGGCUUUUCUCGUCCUCAAUCAAUUGAUGAAGCGCCGAUGCCGCUGUACUCUUGGCCAGACAAGAAGCGGCCACGGGUAUGCAUUUUGGGUGGUGGAUUUGGUGGGCUGUAUACUGCUCUGAGACUAGAAUCUCUUGUAUGGCCUGGUAAUAACAAGCCUCAGGUGAUGCUAGUUGAUCAAUCUGACAGAUUUGUAUUCAAGCCCAUGCUGUACGAGCUCUUAUCAGGAGAGGUGGAUGUCUGGGAAAUAGCUCCGUAUUUUACAGAGCUACUGAAGAACACUAGUGUUCAAUUUGUGAAGGAUAGUGUAAAGCUUCUUCGCCCUUCUGAUCACUUAAGAAGAGAGCCUGGAGUAUCAUGCACUGGCGGAGUUGUUCAUCUUGAAAGUGGCACCGUUGUUGAAUAUGAUUGGCUCGUUCUAGCUCUAGGGGCUGAAGCUAAGAUUGACGUCGUUCCAGGAUCUGCGGAAUAUGCACUUCCUUUCACAACUUUGGAACAUGCUUUGAAAGUUGAAAGUGAAUUGAAAAUGUUAGAAAGGAGAAGGUUUGGUAAGAAGUCCCCACCUAUUCAGGUGGCCAUUGUGGGACUUGGUUACUCUGGUGUUGAGCUAGCUGCCACUAUCUCUGAGAGAUUAAAGAACACAGGGACUGUCAAAGCAAUCAAUUUUCAAACAACCAUCUGUCCUAACGCACCACCAGGAAAUCGUGAAGCUGCUCUGAAGGUUCUUGAGUCCCAAAAUAUCCAACUUUUCUUGGGAUAUUCGGUGAACUGCAUCAGAGAGGUUUAUGCAUCUGAGGAUUCAGGUAGCAUGGUUGCAGAUGCAAAAGUUGGGGGUGACGAUAAGAAACUAGUUUUGGAACUUCAAGCUGCUCAAAGAGGCCUCCAGAGCCAGGUUCUGGAGGCCGAUCUGGUACUAUGGACAGUGGGUUCACAAUCCCAGAUUCUUCGGUUACAACCUCCUGAUGCCCCAUACGUGAUUCCUUUGAAUGGCCGGGGCCAAGUAGAGACAGAGGAAACCCUUCAAGUAAAGGGCCAUCCUAGAACAUUUGCAAUUGGUGAUUCAGCAGCUCUAAGAGACCCAUCAGGAAAAUUUCUCCCAGCCAACGCACAGGUUGCUUUUCAGCAAGCAGAUUUCGCUGGAUGGAAUCUCUGGGCGGCAAUCAAUGACCGGCCCCUUUUGCCGUUCAGGUUCCAAAAUCUUGGUGAGAUGAUGACACUGGGUAGAAAUGAUGCUGCGAUAACAGCAAAUUUCAUCGAGGGACUGACCUUGGAAGGGCCUGUAGGGCAUGCUGCUAGGAAGCUCGUGUACUGCCUCAGGAUGCCCACAGAUGAGCACCGGGUGAAGGUUGGAGUCAGUUGGUUGGCAAAGGGUGCUGUUGAUUCGCUUGCGUCUCUGCAGACUGCAGUAAGUAACAUAAUUGCGGGCUCCUGA